rnacentral:rRNA from 1 species
CCGGCCAUGAGCAGCAGUCGCACUCGGACGACUGCUAUGCCCCAUAUGCCGGGAGGUGAAAUGAUAUAUCGCCUGAGGAUGAACUCCCGUCUGAUUAGCUAUCUGGUUGGGUAAUGGCUGACCAAGGCGACUAUCACUAUCUGGCCUAACAGGAUGAUCUGCCACACUGGGACUGAGACACGGCCCUUACUCCUACAGUAGGCAGCACUGCGGAAUUUUCCGCAAUGGGCGAAAUCCUGACGGACCAACGCCUCCUGAGGGAGGAAGGCCUUGCUGUUGUAAACCUCUUUUCUCUGGGAAGAAGAACUGACGGUACCAUAGGAAUAACCCUCGGCUAACUCCGUGCCAGCAGCCGCCUUCCUACGGAGGAGGCAAGCGUUAUCCGGAAUUAUUGGGCGUAAAGCGUCCGCAGGCGGCUUAUUAAGUCUGUUGUCAAAGGUCACAGCUCAACUGCGGAUCGGCAAUGGAAACUGGUGAGCUAGAGUGUGGUACGGGUACAGGGAAUUCCCGGAGUAGCGGUGAAAUGCGUAGAUAUCGGAAAGAACACCAGUGGCGAAGGCGCUCUACUGGGCCACAACUGACGCUGAGGGACGAAAGCUACGGGAGCGAAAGGGAUUAGAUACCCCC